UUAAAGGCACACUAAACCCAUUAUAAAAACUACCCUGCACUAUUUACAUACACGGAUUGCAGUAUAAACAAAUAUUACAUUUUAUAUAUAAAAUGAAUAGCAUAUAAUAGGUAUGUAUAGGAGUUUGAUAGCAUAUGAAUGGUUUUGAUGGCAUACAAGUAGCAUAUAAUGGGCAUGUGGAGAGAUCUAAUUAAAUAUAAGGGUCAUAUGGAGGAGUGUGAUGGUAUAUAAGUGGCAUCUGGAAGGGUCUGAAGGCAUAUAAAAGGCAUGUGGAGGGAUCUGAUGACAUAUAAGGGGAUUCUGGAGGUGUCCAAUGGCAAAUAAGAGGCAUUUGGAGGGCUCUGAAUCUCACUAACAUUCCACCGCUUCCAUGAAAUCAGAACCUAUUACAUAACCCCCAUGUACUUGUAAACUCCAACUAUUUGCUCACAGAAUUACAGAUUUAUUAUUAUUAUUAUUAUUAUUAUUAUUAUUAUUAUUAUUAAUAAUAUGGUUUUAACAAAGUUUCUUUAUUUAUUGUAGAGUCUGGAACAGGAGUCGGGCUUUCAGUUCCAGUGCACAUGUAGGAGAAAGUAGGCUCACGCUUGUGCCGAUGGCCAACUUAGUGUCCUGGCAGCAGUAAGCUUCCCCCAUUUAUAUACCGGCUGUAUCAGCGGCACUGUAUGAAAUUACAAUUGUGCUAUUAGAUUGACCAGCAAGUAAAAGUGAAGAAGACAACCUGGAGACUAUGCAGAGAGCAGCAACACAAGUGAAAGUGGAGAAGACAACCUGGAGACUAUGCAGAGAGCAGGAACACAAGUGAAAGUGGAGAAGACCUCCUGGAGACUAUGCAGAGAGCAUGAACACAAGUGAAAGUGGAGAAGACCUCCUGGAGACUAUGCAGAGAGCAGGAACACAAGUGAAAGUGGAGAAGACCUCCUGGAGACUAUGCAGAGAGCAGGAACACAAGUGAAAGUGGAGAAGACCUCCUGGAACCGAUUGUAACAGGGUUAGGGAAACAUGUACCAUCUCCUGGGGUAGAUGGUAGUGCACUGCAGCCGAGAGAUCACACUCCAAGGUUUCUGGUGUAACUGGCCUCAACCAGUUUUAGUAAGCAGAAAAAUAAAUCAUCAAACACCUUGCCGUCUGGCACUAACUACACAUAAAUCACUCCUGGCUAACACUACAACACUCUAAGUAACAAAGCACCAAGUGUAGCUCACUUGUAUCCAGUAGCAGGUUUUCUUUUACAGAGACUCUGGGGGCUCUUUUCCCCAGGCACUCAGAAAGGGUUGGGUUUGAUUUGACAGCGGUCGCGAUGCCGGCGGUCAGAAUACCGGCGGCGGCAUCCUGAUGUUCGGAACCCUAUACUUUUCUUCCCCACCCUGGUCCCCUAACUCACCAUCCCUCCAACCUAAACCUACCCCCCUGCCCCCGCUAUGGCCUAAACGUAACCCUCGGUGGUGGUACCCAACCCUAACCUCCCCUCCCCACAGCCUAACACUGAUCCUCCAACCACUAACCCCCUGCCCCCGCAGCCUAAACCUAACCCCCCCCCCGGGCACAGCCUAACCCUAACCUCCCCAUGCCCCCGCGACUCUUACCUCUCCAGUGCAGCAGUGUUCUCAUUCGGCAUACCGGCUGUUGGGAUUCUGGCGCCGGGAUCAGUGGCAUAACUAGGGGCCCGCAGCCCCUGCGAGCGCUUGGAGGCGCACCCUAGCCG